rnacentral:rRNA from 2 species
AAACUUUCAACAACGGAUCUCUUGGUUCUGGCAUCGAUGAAGAACGCAGCGAAAUGCGAUAAGUAAUGUGAAUUGCAGAAUUCAGUGAACCAUCGAAUCUUUGAACGCACAUUGCGCCCCCUGGUAUUCCGGGGGGCAUGCCUGUUCGAGCGUCAUU